GUGGUUUCGGAAGAAAAAUCACGGUAAACUUAGUAGAAAAAGAACGUUAAAACUAGCUUUUUCAGCUCGUUCAUCACAUUUUUCCCUGUAAAUUAUUUAAUUAAUACUACAAGUCGGAGGCAAACAAAACGACAAGUUCUCACCUGUAACAAUCGGUCUUCAUGAGAUACGUCGUCCACUUCAUCAGCCUCAGCCAUUGCGUCGUACUGCCCGUAAGAUGACAUACCAGUAAAAUCUUCAGUAGCAGAAAGGGGCAGUUUUAUUCGCCUGAAGGUGACUUCUGGGAGUUUCCAACGCUGGAAUUCGUCAAUCCAUAUGCAUUGCUGCUUUAUAUGAUCAAGAUCGCUAUGAAUCAUUUAAAUUUUAGAAAUUAUUUGCGAAAUUUAAAUGGAGAUAGGAACUGAAACCUGUAAUUGGAAUCUUUCCGUAUAAGAGGUUGAACUUUUACAAUAAUCUCGUGCAGCAGCCUUAACUGCUGCUCUUGCCGUCGAACCGUUUCGAGGUAGUCGCAUCUUUCUCUUUCGAAUUCACUCUGCAAAUCUUGAAUAUCUCGAUCCAGGGAACGUAACUUUGUUUUCAUUAAAAAAAUUAUUUUAUAUGACUGUAACACAAAAUGCCACUUAACUUACUUUCAGUUUAUAUUUUUUUAUGGUUUCAGUUUUAACCCGGACUUCAUGUUGGAUGUCAUCAUAGACUCGCAAAAGCGCCCCAUCUUCGUCUUCCGUUCGAGCCAAAAGCUGCGCAAGCAAAGCUCUCCGUCGUUCUGACUGAUGCUUCCGCUUCCAGUGCCGCUCUCGAAACUCUGGAUCAUUGGCUUUCUCCCCUCCUACUAAGUUGCCCUCAAUUUGCCUCAGCCUUAACAAAAACACCUUUUCAGUUUUUACUUCUUUUUUCACCAGAUUUUUCUCGGCUUUCAAUUUUUAAGUUAAUGCUUCUUCAGAAGCAGACGCCAGAUGGCUUUUUAGGCCGGGAAAUGCGGAUUUAAAAAGCUUCAUAGGCUCGACGUAAAUUUUCCAUCUCAGAAGUUGCUUUGGCAUUCGUUUCUUGCUCCUUUUCUACUUGCCUCUGGAGUUGGCGAAUUUUUUCUUCAUAUUCGAUCUGCAGCAGGACUUUUUCUUGUUCAAGAUCAAUUUCUACUAAAAGUAGAAGUAGAAGUAUGGAAUUUACAAAGAAAAAUUAUUCUACAAUUUUGAGUGCAUGAUUAAGAAAUAUAUCAAUACAACAUAAAUAAACUUUUAAAUAACCCAA